UUGAGGUUCAUAUGGUUGAGUGCUA
rnacentral:rRNA from 2 species